rnacentral:rRNA from 1 species
GAUGAACGCUGGCGGCGUGCCUAACACAUGCAAGUCGAGCGAAGCGCUUAAAUUAGAUUUCUUCGGAAUGACGAUUUUUGUGACUGAGCGGCGGACGGGUGAGUAACGCGUGGGUAACCUGCCUCAUACAGGGGGAUAACAGUUAGAAAUGACUGCUAAUACCGCAUAAGACCCCAGCUUCGCAUGAAGCGGUGGUAAAAACUCCGGUGGUAUGAGAUGGACCCGCGUCUGAUUAGCUAGUUGGUAAGCUAACGGCUUACCAAGGCGACGAUCAGUAGCCGACCUGAGAGGGUGACCGGCCACAUUGGGACUGAGACACGGCCCAGACUCCUACGGGAGGCAGCAGUGGGGAAUAUUGCACAAUGGGGGAAACCCUGAUGCAGCGACGCCGCGUGAAGGAUGAAGUAUUUCGGUAUGUAAACUUCUAUCAGCAGGGAAGAAAGUGACGGUACCUGACUAAGAAGCCCCGGCUAACUACGUG